UGCGGAAGAGGGAAGAACUAAAAGAAGCAAUAGAGAACCUGAGGCAGUCCUGGUUGAGGGAUGGAGUAGAUAACCCUAGGUCGGAGGGAGCAGGGCCUCAUUAGAGCUCUUUUGUCUUUAUGUCUUAUCAUGUAGUUACUUCCUUUUUGUCGUUUUGUCCUUCUUUCCUUGGCCGUCCUGGCCUUGUAGUGUGUAUAUCGG
rnacentral:lncRNA from 1 species